rnacentral:rRNA from 1 species
GUAGGUGGCAAGCGUUGUCCGGAAUUAUUGGGCGUAAAGCGCGCGCAGGCGGUUCUUUAAGUCUGAUGUGAAAGCCCACGGGCUCAACCGUGGAGGGUCAUUGGAAACUGGAGAACUUGAGUACAGAAGAGGAAAGCGGAAUUCCACGUGUAGCGGUGAAAUGCGUAGAGAUGUGGAGGAACACCAAUGGCGAAGGCGGCUUUCUGGUCUGUAACUGACGCUGAGGCGCGAAAGCGUGGGGAGCAAACAGGAUUAGAUACCCUGGUAGUCCACGCCGUAAACGAUGAGUGCUAAGUGUUAGGGGGUUUCCGCCCCUUAGUGCUGCAGCUAACGCAUUAAGCACUCCGCCUGGGGAGUACGGCCGCAAGGCUG